GACGAACGCUGGCGGCGUGCUUAACACAUGCCAGUCGAACGGAAAGGCCUCUUUCGGGGGGUACUCGAGUGGUGAGCGGGUGAGUAACACGUGAGUAACCUGCCCUUGACUUUGGGAUAACUUCAGGAAACUGGGGCUAAUACCGGAUAGGAGCUCCUGCUGCAUGGUGGGGGUUGGAAAGUUUCGGCGGUUGGGGAUGGACUCGCGGCUUAUCAGCUUGUUGGUGGGGUAGUGGCUUACCAAGGCUUUGACGGGUAGCCGGCCUGAGAGGGUGACCGGCCAGCGUGGGAGUGAGGUAGCGGCACAGGGCGGGCGGAGGGCAGGAGGGGGGAAUGUAGAGCAGGGGGGUGAAGGCGGGUGCAGCAAGGCGGGGGGGGGGCUGACGGCCUGCGGGUUUGAGAGUGCUCUAGUGGAGGAGUAAGGUUUGGGGGGGGGUAGUGAGUAAAGGAGCACAGGGAAACUGCGGGCCAGGAGCAGGGGUAAUAAACAGAAGAGCACACGUGCAAGC
rnacentral:rRNA from 1 species